rnacentral:lncRNA from 1 species
AUAAUCAUUAAAUCUCAUGAUAUUCUGUGACUUGAAUUAAACAAAUAAAUAUCGAAGUGAAAUAAAGGUAUCUCAGCAAUUCAAACGAUCCGUCCCUGGGAUUCCAGCGUCUACCCUUUGAGGAGAGUCCUCCCAGUCUGCUCGCUCACACUUCUGCAGCAGUCCCGUGUUGGUGCGGAUCUAACGCAAAUUUGUGAGACACGUCAGAUACGCUCUAUCUCUGACGGACGGCAGAAAGUCCACUUCGCCAGAUGUUCCUUCUGCAGUGCCCUGGGGCCAGCACCAGGACUGGGGAGGACAAGAGUGAGUGUGAUCUCAGCCCAGCCAUGCUGCACCUGGGCUCUGCCCUCGAUCGCUCAGUGCCCCGGGUGUAGGAGCAGGAGGCGCUUACGUGAGGGAAUAAAGACC